rnacentral:rRNA from 1 species
GACGAACGCUGGCGGCGUGCUUAACACAUGCAAGUCACGGGGGCCCGCAAGGGCAACCGGCGAACGGGUGCGUAACACGUGAGCAACCUGCCGAUCUGUGGGGGAUAGCCGGGCUAACGCCCGGGUAAUACCGCAUACGUUCUCUUGGGGGAGUCCCUAAGAGAGGAAACCUCCGGGGCAGAUCGAGGGGCUCGCGGCCUAUCAGCUAGUUGGCGGGGUAAUGGCCCACCAAGGCGACGACGGGUAGCUGGCUGAGAGGAUGGCCAGCCACAUUGGGACUGAGA